UACAUGCAGUCGAACGAGUUCUCGUUGAUGAUCGGUGCUUGCACCAGAGAUUCAACAUGGAACGAGUGGCGGACGGGUGAGUAACACGUGGGUAACCUGCCCUUAAGUGGGGGAUAACAUUUGGAAACAGAUGCUAAUACCGCAUAGAUCCAAGAACCGCAUGGUUCUUGGCUGAAAGAUGGCGUAAGCUAUCGCUUUUGGAUGGACCCGCGGCGUAUUAGCUAGUUGGUGAGGUAAUGGCUCACCAAGGCGAUGAUACGUAGCCGAACUGAGAGGUUGAUCGGCCACAUUGGGACUGAGACACGGCCCAAACUCCUACGGGAGGCAGCAGUAGGGAAUCUUCCACAAUGGACGCAAGUCUGAUGGAGCAACGCCGCGUGAGUGAAGAAGGCUUUCGGGUCGUAAAACUCUGUUGUUGGAGAAGAAUGGUCGGCAGAGUAACUGUUGUCGGCGUGACGGUAUCCAACCAGAAAGCCACGGCUAACUACGUGCCAGCAGCCGCGGUAAUACGUAGGUGGCAAGCGUUAUCCGGAUUUAUUGGGCGUAAAGCGAGCGCAGGCGGUUUUUUAAGUCUGAUGUGAAAGCCCUCGGCUUAACCGAGGAAGCGCAUCGGAAACUGGGAAACUUGAGUGCAGAAGAGGACAGUGGAACUCCAUGUGUAGCGGUGAAAUGCGUAGAUAUAUGGAAGAACACCAGUGGCGAAGGCGGCUGUCUGGUCUGUAACUGACGCUGAGGCUCGAAAGCAUGGGUAGCGAACAGGAUUAGAUACCCUGGUAGUCCAUGCCGUAAACGAUGAAUGCUAGGUGUUGGAGGGUUUCCGCCCUUCAGUGCCGCAGCU
rnacentral:rRNA from 2 species